ensembl:misc_RNA Metazoa_SRP Metazoan signal recognition particle RNA
GCCGGGCGCGGUGGCGCGCGCCUGUAGUCCCAGCUACUCGGGAGGCUGAGGCUGGAGGAUCGCUUGAGCCCAGGAGUUCUGGGCUGCCGUGCGCUAUGCCGAUCGGGUGUCCGCACUAAGUUCGGCAUCAAUAUGGUGACCUCCCGGGAGCGGGGGACCACCAGGUUGCCUAAGGAGGGGUGAACCGGCCCAGGUCGGAAACGGAGCAGGUCAAAACUCCCGUGCUGAUCAGUAGUGGGAUCGCGCCUGUGAAUAGCCACUGCACUCCAGCCUGGGCAACAUAGCGAGACCCUGUCUCUU